GCGCGCGCUGCACCGCGUCUCAUCUCAAGUCGGGCAGGUCCCCAGCCCCCACCACACAAACCCUAUCUUACAAAUCCCCGCAGCGCCGCCCUCCUCACUCCUCCAUCUUUCCUCGUCAGCCACCGCUGCACCAUUCCACUUCGCUCCUCUCUGUCCGAUGGUCGUGCUACUAGGAGGAAGCCGCCGCAGAAGAGGACAGGGGACGCCCGUUGGCGAGCUUCCGGGCAGGAAGCCGACGGGGAGCACGCCAUCAACGAGCCCUCGGGGAGAAGCUAUUGGCCGAUCCUGAGUCGUCCACCAAAGACCGCCGGUUGCGCCGUCAUGAGAGGAGCAGCAUGGGAGGAGAUGAGGAUAUGUCGUCGGCGUCGGAAUCCCUCUUCCCUGGCUGCAUCUUCCCCACAUUUUGGUUCUUCAUUUGGUUUGCUACAGGAAUAAAUGUUCUAGGGUUGGAGAAGAGGGGGUUGAGCAGCAACUGAGCUUAGGUGAGUGCUCAGGUUGAUCACCUUCACCAAGAAAAGUGUGAUGCCAGUUAUGCACAAGAAUAUCUUAUCUGCACCAUGACAAUAAGGUCUUGCUGCAGUCACGUAGAUCUUGGGAGUAUGGUGCUUCGAUUUGGUUCCUGUGGUGGUAUCUUCCCUCCCUUCUCCGUCCUUCUAUUUCUUACUUAUGCUUCGAUGCUUUGAUAUGUUGUAUUGGCUUAAAUUAUGUACUUGGUUGAGUCCUGCUUGCUUAUUGAGAUGAAUCAUUUACAAAGUUAUAGUGUUAUUUUUAGAAUUUGUAAUGACACUGUUACCUUCAGAAUUUGAGAUGAACCAUUUCUAGAGCGUAUAUGGAGAGCCUAGAAGCAGCAGGGGUCGGUGGAGCAGCAGAUGCGGUCGAUGGAGUAGCAGGAGCAAGGAGCUCGAGAUGGUUCAGGAAGAGUGUCUACAGAGAUUAUAGAACUGGAGAGAGGUGCCUUAUGAUAGUAUAGCUAAAGAAUAACAGGUAUGGGUAGAUGGCACUGCCACCUAUGUGUUUCAUUUUUAUUUGUUGCGAUAUUUCACACACCCCAUAUUGGCACCCCCUCUCUAUUUUCCCAUGCUUAUAGACUUGGAGAAACACAUGCUGCUUGUCUCUAUUUAUCUUGGUCUUCACAUUAUAAAUUAAAAUGUAGUUGGAAAGAAUUGUGGGUCAUUUUGGCAUGGAGCUCGAGAAUGAUAAUACCACCUCAAGUGGGGAUAAAGCAGAACAAGAAAUAGAUGAGAUGUAGUUACUGAAACUAGAAAAAAAAUACUCUUCUUCUGAUUAUGCAUAUGUAAAGUCAUGAUUACGUGUGGACCAGAUGUGUGCUCUUUUCCAUUGCAUACCAGAUUGUCGGCUAAAAGAGUUUUUUGUCUUCCAGCAAUGAGCUUUCAUUUUCAUUGUGGAGGUUUGUUCGGUUCAUCUCCUCUCAUCAUUUUUUUUCAGUUUAUCUCUUCAGAAGUUUGGGUGCCUCUGUUUUGCUACUUUUUAGUUCUCAUCAUUAAGGUUUGUAUCUUUCCUCCCCUCUUGGAUUGUUGCAUCCUUAUUGUGUCUCAUCGUUAAGGUGGCACAUAUAAGUAUUAAUUUGUUGAGUUCUGCUAAAGUACCGCUGAAAAUUCAAAUUCUAUAUACUUUACUUUUGGCUAUACACGAGAAGAAUACAGUACACACAUUUGAGUAGUGAUUAAAUGUGAAGACCAUUGUGCAUGUUUUUCUGAAUGUGGAUUAAUUAAGUUUUAUUGCUUUAUGGUGAGAUGAAUAUGUUGAUUACAAUGAUAUAAUAUUAAGAGAUUUUCAAGUGUAAGCUUGUAGCAAAUUAUCUUCUAAUCCGGACUCCAUAUCAUUAUUUAUAUUGUAACACAAAUGUGAUCUAUUAUACUCCCAGCCUCGGUACAUGAAGGCAUGAUAUUACCCCUCUCCCCCUGCCCCUUCUAUGUAUUUUUUGAUUUGUUUGUGUGACUGUACUGAAUGGUGCUUGCAGGUCCAUGGACAUUGUCAGAAUUUUCACUUUAUCGGAGUGUCUUAUUUUCAGAUCUCAUGUUCCUCAAGGCUUUCUUUCACUGCUGCUCUAAACAGGGAACGUUGAUGACAACAUACAGGUAACUCUUUCAAAAUCAUGGAUAGUAUAAAUAUACAGUUGUAUGAUUAAAUUUGAGGUUAUUUCUUAAACCGGCAUAUACUUUCCUUGCCUUGAGAGCACAAUUUAUAAUCAAAUGGAAACGGCAUACCUUUCUUUACUUGGAACAUGGCAUCUAACAGAGGAACAUGAGUACUAUAUAUGUAUAUCAGUAUAUCGCGAGCUCUAAAAAGGUUUUCGUCUAUUCCUUUUGCACAUCAGGCUUUUUCCUGACUGUCGCCAGUACAAAAAGAGCUUGCUGCCAUGUAUAGGAGAAUAGAAUACACGUUCUUGAAAUGAAGCAACUUAUUAAACUAAACCAUGGUGAUGUACUCCUUUGCCACUAAUUUAUUGAGAUCCUGCUAAAAAUAAGGGGAAGACAAACAUCAUCCCGCCACUUAAGUUAUCCCAUAUUUAAAUUAGGCCUCGGCCAAUGUUGGAGAAGACAGACUAUAGGGACGAGCCGCUAGAGCACGUGUUCAUGGUAUGUUCGCGCGCAAUAUGCUGAAGUUCGUUGGAAGGAAGAAGAGCUGGCCGGCGAGGAUGAGGACAAGGCGGGAUGUGAGGUGCUUGCACGCGCAGCAGCAGGAGGCCGUCCGUGAGGUGCUCCUCUGGAUGCUCCCUUCCGGCGUUGGGCCUAGGUGUUCAACGCUGCCCUCACCAUCCCCUUCUUCCAAUGGCUCAUCGGCCCGUUAGAGGUUAUUGAGGUGGAAGUCAAUGGUGUGAGGCGGAGAAGUGGACUGCUUAUAAAGAAACACAAGUAUGUAUGAAUAUGAUGGAUGCUUCCAUUGCCAACUGAUGAAAUGCAUGUCUCGUAUUUGCGCAACUGCUGCCUGGAUUCACCGCUGCCGCCUCCAGUCGCUUCCUCCUGGGCAUCCCGUCUCUAGCAAGAAGCACAACCCUCUUGAUCCAACUAGGAACAUCAAAAUCAAAUGGGAUAUCAUUGAGUGGACUUCAGAUGGCCAUGCUGAUAAUCUGACACCUAAUAAGGACCAAGAGAACAACAGAGAUGCUAAGAGGCAACCUUUUGGGUUUAAGGAUAUAAACAACAUGGCUUACGAGGAUUUGGACUGCUGUUCUUUUAGUUCCACUCUUAAAUCUUUUGGUUCUUGAAGGCCUGCACUUUCUUGGUGGAGUGGGAGCAAAAUAAUUCAGAGGCUUUAAAGCUGCUGCACUUUAGUAGUUAGGAUAAAUUCUUUGUUUUGGUUUGAAAUGCUCCCUGAUUCCUCCUAUUUGAUUGAUUCAUCUGAUGGCCAUUUGUCAGGCAAAUAAACAGAAGGCAUAUGUAUUGUUUUGAGUGAAGCCAUCCAUACAAGUCGAUAUAUUAAUUAUCCCAUAUGUAGCAUUCAAGAUAUAGAGAAAUGUUAUUGUUCUUCUGCUAAUUGGUUGCUUGACCAAAUGUACUAUAAAUGAUGUUAUUAUUGUACCAGAUAUAGAGAAAUGUUAUUGUUCUUCAA